rnacentral:rRNA from 1 species
GUCUACAGCCAUACAACCCUGAACAUGUCUGAUUUCAUCUGAUCUUGGAAGCUAAGCAGGGUCAGGCCUGGUUAGUACUUGGAUGGGAAAAAUCUAAUCACAAACU